CCCCGCUCAGGGUCGCACCUGGAGAGUUUCCAGUUCUCUACCAGUCACAACUAAAGGAGGGAGAGUCAAGCAGGGGCCUAUUCAUUCCAUUCCUAGCUUAAGCAGUGGCUAGGGAGUGGAAGGCAAUCUGCUACAAGU